AGAGCGAACGCUGGCGGCAGGCCUAACACAUGCAAGUCGAGCGCCCGUAGCAAUACGGGAGCGGCAGACGGGAUAGUAACACGUGGGAACGCGCCCUUCGGUUCGGAAUAACUCAGGGAAACUUGAGCUAAUACCGGAUACGCCCUUACGGGGAAAGAUUUAUUGCCGAAGGAACGGCCCGCGUCCGAUUAGCUAGUUGGUGAGGUAAUGGCUCACCAAGGCGACGAUCGGUAGCUGGUCUGAGAGGAUGACCAGCAUCACUGGGACUGAGACACGGCCCAGACUCCUACGGGAGGCAGCAGUGGGGAAUAUUGGACAAUGGGCGCAAGCCUGAUCCAGCCAUGCCGCGUGGAUGAUGAAGGCCUUAGGGUUGUAAAGUCCUUUUAACGGGGAAGAUAAUGACGGUACCCGUAGAAUAAGCCCCGGCUAACUACGUGCCAGCAGCCGC
rnacentral:rRNA from 1 species